GCUGGGCCAGACGUUGAUGGGAAAUGGCUGACUGCAGGAUAAACAAGCAGCUCCCUUUUUGGUGAGCUUCAGAGGAAGCAGGUGGACAGAAUCAAGGCUUCAGAAGCCAUAGGAAACUAAUUCAGAUGUAGCAGUGAGUGAUGUGAUGACUGGAGUGGCAGCAGCUAUCUUGAAACUAUGAGGACACAAACCUGAGGAUAAAAUUAAAUUCAAUAUCCUGGAGAAGACAGAGUGGAAAGAUGGAAAGACCUGUUGAAUUAGCCACGUAUCACUCAACCUUUUGACUUCUUAUCAUCAUGUAAGAUAGCCUCCUUUUGGUUGUUUAAGACUUUAGAACAGAAACUUGCUAGUGGAGCAAGAUGAAGGAGGAAAAAGAGCUGGAAGACGCGUGUCUACACUGAGGGCAGGAUGGAAUCUACAGAGCGCCUCUGCCACUGUGCUUACCGUGUGGUUCCCUUUCUCCCUGCACUUGGAUCAGACACGUAAGAUUCACCAGAUGUGCAACCUUUGGAACCAGCUGGAAAAACCAGAAACCCAAAGCCAUAGUAGACACUUCCAUAGGGAUUUCCUACCUCUUUUGGUCUGGACUGACCCAAUGAUGAGUUAUUGAAUUUGACCCUCGAUUGUAUUUCUGAAGCUCCAGGUUGGAAAUGGGGUGAGUAAGUGAGAAGGAGCCGCCCUGACUCCGGCUCCUCCCCACACCCAAACUCUUCUCACCCUUCCCAGCUGUCUCAGACACAGGCUUGGGGAAGGAAGAGAUACACGCAGGGAAUGGGAAAGAGGAUUAGGAAAAGGUGUGGAGAUGGGAAAAGGAAGGGAGAAGAGUGGGAGAGAGGAGAAGGGAAAUCAGGGGACGUACUCCAGAGCAAAUUUUUACCAGAUGAAGAGAAAAAAAGAGGAAAGGCUGUUUAGCUUUCACUCCACCUCACGCAUGGAUUUAGGAGAACAUGACUACAGGACUCAGUUUUUGAAACUGUAGCUUCUGGAAGCUACAGUUCUGAGUUUCUGAGUUUCAUGAAAAAUGAAAAGUACCUGAGGAAAAUGCUAAAUAUUAUUCCAGAAUCAUAGAACAAGGACUGCUCACUUUAGACAGGUUAAUGUGUAGCUCUUGGAUAAAAAUUUAGAAAGAGGCAGCUGGUUGGAAAGUCCAGCAGGGGCACCAAGCCAAAGACCUGGAGCAGCUCGCAGCCCAGCCUUACACUGGAGUAACCUGAGCCCUCAGAGAAUCCAGGAGGUGAGGCUACAAUCCAGCAUUCUAUUUUUAAUUCACAGUGUGGAGAUAAGAGUUAAAUAUAAAGCAGAUUAAGACUUCCCUUAAAUCUCCUCUAUAAAAGAAAAACUGGAAUUAAUCUACAGGAGCACUCCAUGGAUAGCUCAAUACCAUCAUUUUUUAAGAAUAAAAUU